rnacentral:rRNA from 1 species
AUUGAACGCUGGCGGCAGGCCUAACACAUGCAAGUCGAACGAGUGGCGGACGGGUGAGUAAUGUCUGGGAAACUGCCCGAUGGAGGGGGAUAACUACUGGAAACGGUAGCUAAUACCGCAUACCAUCGGAUGUGCCCAGCUGGGAUUAGCUAGUAGGUGGGGUAAUGGCUCACCUAGGCGACGAUCCCUAGCUGGUCUGAGAGGAUGACCAGCCACAGUGGAACUGAGCCACGGGCCAGACUCCGACGAGAGGCAGCAGGGGGGAAGAUUGCACAAUGGGAGCAAGCCUGAGGCAGCCAUGCCGGGGGUAUGAAGAAGGCCUACGGGUUGUAAAGUACUUUCAGCGAGGAGGCGUUACUCGCAGAAGAAGCACCGGCUAACUCCGUGCCAGCCGCCGCGGUAUUC